UAUCUAAGUUUAUUCCUUCCUUUAUUCUCUUUCUUAUUCUUAGACACCAAUUGACAUGCUAGCACAGUUAAGUAUAACAGAAUGGCGGAUUGGCUAUGAAGUAGAGUUAGCUUCUAGUCUACAGCAAGCUAUAGCUGUGCGUGAAAAUGUUUCACUCAUUCUAAUUCAAGCUGAAUAUGAAAUGAGAAUUGGCAAUAUAUGUUACUGUGAGACCUACUUGUUGGACUUAUCACACAUACUCAGAAGAAAUAUAUUUGUAUAAAUUACUUAUACUAGCUCAUCAUGAUUAACUAACCGGCAUGUCUGCUACUUACAUGGAUAUGAUAUACUUGCAUUGUUUUUUGUUGAUUACAUCAUAUGUUUUUUUUCUAUUCCUCAAUAAUAUAUGGCAUACAAAACUUAAUUAUGGUAUGAAUAGUAAUCAGUUUAACUAUUUUCGAAAGCCUUAUGUAUUUUGUUUUAUGCUUUAUACUUUUAAUUCUGUCAAAGGAGAUUUGUUCUUUUUCAACAAUACCAAUGCCGGUAACUGGCUGCAGAAAUUUGACUAUGGCUUCCCCUUCCAAGAACUCUUUUCUAAGAUGAGGUCAGAUUAGUUAAACCUGUAAACUAGCCCGUGGCAAGGACUUAGGCAAAGUGGUCCCCGCAGAUUGGGUUCACCAGACAUGUUACGUAUGACCUAAUGGAUUGUUACCUUGUAAUCACUGCAGCAGCAUCAGCUAACGAAAGGCCCUGUUGAAUUAUGCCUAUAAAAUUGUUGCCACUGUGUGCACACAGAAUAUGUAGUCUUCUCGAAACUGGUAGGAGUGGUGUGGCAAAAACGCAUGCGCAUAUACGACCUCUGUAGAACAACUGAAUCGAGAUAUCUGCAACGAUGGCUAUGUAAUAGGAAAUUUAAAAGCUGUUCAUUGCUUGUACCACUUCACGCUUACAAAAAGCAGAAAACCCAAGGGUAAAUUGAAACUACAAAACAUUUUAUUGGUUUAUGGCUUACUAUGAAAUGAUUACUAUUCAUAGCCUACAGGUAAGUAUACCUACUUGCUAAUAUAUACCUUGUACUAUGUAUUUGAAAAUCUCAAAAGCAGCCUUUUAAUCUGUAUGCAAUUAAAAUACAAUCACCAGAAAGAUGAGAUGAAUGAAGACUGGUUUCUUGUUUUAACACAUUAUGUUUGCUAUUUCCCAAGGCUCUACCUCCUUUACUUUUUCCUUUUGUGUUCGUGGCCUGGUUACACAAACCCGUAGCUCUGGACUUGUGUUGAGGUUGGGUCACAAGCUCACGCUUAUGGGUCAGUGUCGCUAUGGUAAGUGAAAUUAGUAGUCUUGUAUUAUAUUUUAUGCGCUGUCAAUGACCACACAGCUGCUACUGUCUAAUCGGCAGUAAAUGUACUACUGGAUGAGCACUAGAAGGAAAAGAAAGAAAAAAAUAGAGGAAAAGAAACAAGAAAGACAUUUCCUGUCCCCCAACCACUUACAGUAUUGCCUUUACAUCAUACUUAAGGACUUGAGAUACACAUAACAUUUAGACGGAUGACUUUCUUUGGAAAUGAUGAUAAAAACUGAGGGAGGGAUCUAAAGUGCAACAUGAAACAACAUGAUUGAAUAAUAUAUGAGUUAUUUAAUUUCAUCUUAAUUCAUUUUCACAAAUUUAAAUUAGAUGUUUAUUUUCUUUCAUGUAAUUUUUUAUUUUUUUAUUUUCCCAUUUGUAUUUUGAAAAUCAUGUUCAUUGUUCAAAUUUUUAGCCUGUUUGUCUUAUUAUUUUAUUCAAUUCCCACUUAUUCAGUUACAACUUUUAGUAGUUUUUUUCUUUCUUCUUUUAAUAGCAGUUUUUACCAAGACAUUAUUGCUUUAGAUAUUUAGUUCCUUAUUAUUUAAUUCUAGCAAUAUUCUAGCUAUAUUUUAUUCGUUCUCAGUUAUUUUUUUAAACUAUAUUAUUUAUAAUUACAUUUAAGAUAUCAAAUAAGCGUUUUUGUUGUUGUUACUGUCAUCAUCAUCAUCAUCAUAAUCAUCAUUAAAAGAACCAAUAUUGGGAAUAUAAGGUGUAAGUAAUAUUUUAAAUAAUUUAGAACUUUGGAUUUAAAAAAAAAAAAACUAUUGAUUUUUGUCAUUAUUAUAUGGAUUAAAAAAUUCAUCGAAAUAUUUCAAAGUUUCAAUACUCAGAAUACACUAUGUUAAAGAAAUUCGCUUUAAAUAAAUAACAUUAAAUAAUAACCAUUAUUUAUUGAUCAAUAAACUUUAUAAGUGAAAUUAUUAUCGUGUAUUUGUUGUAUUUUCUUUGUUAAAUAUAUUUCUAUUGUAUUUUUCUAAUCUCCCUAUAAGUAAUUAGCAAAAAUUAGAGAUUCUGUUAACAUACAAGUUUUAUGAAUUGUUUCCAAAAAUAUAUUUUGGUAAAAUGUGUUGGUUCAUGUCAAUUAUAAUUAGCACCAUUGUAUGAUUAUACCAUUAAUUGUCUAUGUGCAAAUAGAUAGAUCAUAUUUUUCUUCAUCUCCCGUUUCUCUCCGAAAUUUUAUAUAAAGUCAAAAAAAAUCUCUUUCCCUAUUCUUGCAUAUAUGUGAAAUAUUAAGCUGCCAACGAGGAGAAAAGUUUAUGACCCCAGACUGAGGUAGUAGGUUGUAUAGUUAAGAAAUACACCAUUUCAAGGAGAACUGUACAACCUUCUAGCUUUCCCUGGGGCAUGAAUGAGCAACACUUAAACACAUCUAUUCUGGCGUUUCAGCAACGCUGAAUGCAUCAUUGUUUAUCCGUCUACCAGUUACAAUAAUUGCAGGCAAAUCUCAUGCAGUCCUGUCCUGAACUUAAAAUAUAUAAAAAUCAAAUGAGUAGAGGCUGCUUUUGGUUGUGUCAGAUUUGUUAGCUGGCAUUUAAUGAAAGAAAUUUAUUUUUAUAUUUGUCAUUUUUUUUUUUAUAUAUUUGCAAAGAUGAUCAUGAAUAUUAUGAAAUUGUUUUCAAUGUUUGCUUAUUUAUUUUUUCACAUUACUUUUAUUUAUAUCAUGACACUUAAUAUCUUUCUGUACAUUAUAAUAGCUAUAAUUGAAACAUUGACUAUUUUUCACUGUUUGCUAAGUUACUGCUUUAUUGGCUUCUUAUUUUAUUAAAUUCAGCUACAUUAAAGUUUUAAAUUUCUCACUAUUACUUCAAAAUAGUUUUCAUUUAGCAAGAAUAAAUGUGCUUGGAUUAUAAUUUUAAUUUUUAAGCAAUAAUCUUAUUUAAAUUAUUUUUAAUUACAGAAUUAAAAAUCCCUUUUUAUGGAAAUUUUACCAACCUCUCCUCCCUAAUUUUUUUUUCCAUUUUAUUGAAAAGAAUUGUAUAAAUUAAAAUUUUUUGUUUGUAAUAAUUGCAAAAUUUUUAUAAUUUAAUGAAAACUUUAUUCUGUUAUCAGUACUAUUAAUAUUUUUAUUCAAAUUUGUUGAUAGUAAAAGCAUUAAUUUAAAUUAUUGUAAAUUUUUCAUUUUAGAACAUAAUUCCUUUGCAAAAUUAAGGCAAAGAUCUUGGAUAUUCCAUACUAAAAUAUGUUAAACAAAUUACUUUUAUUAAAGUAAUCUUCAACUUCAUUAUACAGUUCUGCUAAAUAAUAGAUUUGGAAAUGGUGAAAUUUAUAUUUAAAAAAAAAAAAAAAGCUAUUUAUUUGAUACCUAGUUUAUUUAAUAAUUGGCUAAUUUUCAUAGCUGUUUUACUUAAACUAAUUUUAGUUGAUUUAUUUAUUACUGUUUAAUUUGUCUAGUUAAGAAUUUAAGGAGUAAAAGGUUUAUUUUUCAUUUUACGUCAUAAGUCUGUCAUUGAUUUUCAAUUCAAAGCAACUAUUAGUCUUUUCCAGAGGUAAAAAAGAUUAUAUAUAUAUAAACAUAUAUAUAGUUCUUUCCAGCAAACCAGGAUGUUUCCAGCAUUGUCUUUUUUUUACCUCUUUUGAAGCAAGUGCUACUAUUAUUCACCAGCUGUUAACCUGGACUGAUAUAAUUUAUUGUACUGCCGGUGUCUGCAAUUCAAUUAAAAAUUGGGGUUUCCUAAACAAAUCUAUCAGAUUUUUAAUGUUGAACUUUUACUGUUCCUUUUGCCAGUUUGGAACCACAUUUGACCAUAGGACUGAAGAUAUCUGUAUCCUUUUCUUAGAAUCACAAUUCUAUAUAGAACUGUAAAUGUGAAAUUGCUCUAAUCACUGGAUUCACUUAAACCUGAUAAUAUGAAAAGUCAUAUUAGUCUUUUUGGAAAUACUGCUUUCAGAUUAUUUAUGUAGAAACCAAUCAGAAAUAAUUCAAACUUAUUUAUAUAAACCCAAUAGCUUGUUGUCUGUGUUUGCUUGCAUCUAGGUAAAUAAUUAGAUAUCGGAUGUCAUCUUUUUAUAUGUGCUUGAACAUUAUGUAUGUGUGUAUGUAUAUAUAUUGCAGCCUUAGUUUCUGUCGGAGUCUCCUUCCAUUCACAAGUUCUCCAUAGAGCAUCUGCUUAGGAAUCCUGCUAUCCUUCAUUCUAAUAAGGUGUCCAGUCCAACGUAACUGGUGCUUGUGCACCAUCGCCUCAAUACUCAAGAUAUCAGCUUUCCUCGGGACCUGUGUGUCUGGAGUUUUUAAGGUCCAGCAAACAUUCAGAAUGUGUCUCAGACAUCUCUGAUGAAAGCAUUCAAGGACCCUUACAUGACGUUUGUAAUGGGUCCAUGUCUCACAUGAGUAAAGGAGCGAUGUCAGUACACGUGCACGGUAUACAGCAACUUUUGUUUGCCUUGCGAUGCCAUGCUGGGACCAGACACGAGACUGAAGAGACUGGAAGGAAUUAGUUGCUCUCUACAACCUGAAAGAUAUUUCCUCAUCCAGGGAGCAAGAACAGCUGAGUGUGCUGCUCAGGGACAAACUUGUCUACUACCUUCAGAAUUGUUCCUUCAACCAAGAUAGCUGGUUCCAUAUAUGGAUUUCCUGGUGCCGGCUGGAACAUUACAACAGUGUUGUCCAGGCCUGUGAUAUGCAGGACACUGACUGGGAGAACAAUGCCUGUCAUUGCCACAGAUGGAGGAAGCAGGUUAAAGAGGAGAUCGACACUUUUGAGAGAGCAUAUAUACAGCAUGAAGAACUUAAGCAAGCUGCGCGAAAGUGCACAACUCGUAUAGUGAAUGGGGAAAGCUUGGUCUGCAAUGUUUGCAGUCGUGUAUGCUUGUCAAGAGCAGGGCUCAUUAGCCACCAACGGAGCCACAAAUGCAAAAUAUAAGUUAGUCCUAGAGCGCACAAUGUUCAUGAAGGUUGGCAAUGGUCUUCCUCGGUCACGAGUGGACGGCCAUCAUAUAUAUAUAUAUAUAUAUAUAUAUAUAUAAUGAAAUGAUUGAGGUUUUGUCAUUUUAUAUAUUGAUAAAACUUAACCAUUUAUGAUUUUCAUUCACUGAAAUUAUUUCAAUGAGUUUUUAUAAUGACAAUCUUGGUUUUCUUUAGUUAUGAGUAAAAGGGUAAAGUAGUUAUAAGUUACACUUGAUUGGGUUAUUCAAUAUUUCUGAAGAAUUUGCACUGAAUAACCUUGCUUCUCCUCCUACCCUGUCCAUUAGACUAAUGUUUUAUAAACUACUCCAAUGAUAUCACUAUAGUAGGAGGAGUGGCUAGCUGAGAGCAGUUGACUUAAACACCAGUGGUCUUAACACACAAAGAUCCUGAGUUUAUGUUUACUUGUUCCUACACAAGCCACAUCUUCCUUUUUAUUUUUUAUUUUAUUCUAAUCUUUUGUAUAAUCAAAAUUAUUUUACUUAUACUUGUAUUUUGACACUUCUGAAACUGGACUAUGACAAAUCUAUUUUAUUUGCAUGAUAUUGGUUUAAAAAAUAAAAUCAGGUUAAUGUGAAAUGUGUGUGUGUGUAUAACUAGGUAAUACUGAAUUGAGGUAGGAUAUGAGGGUGUUGUAUGUUGUGCUUUAUUUUUCAUACCUAACAAUUUUUUUCUAUGUCAACAACUGUACAUUUACUCACUCAUAAGGAUUUGUGCUUUGCUGAUGAGGCCAUAAUAGGACAGAAAUAUGGUCCAACUUGCCAAAAUUAUUAAACUAAUAUUAGUCAAUGACUAAUACCUUUUUUCUUCACUACAUAAUUACAGUUAAUUUUUUUUUUUACUGUUCUCUAUAUGAAUUAAGUUAAGAGCAACUAAAUUUAUUUAUCAUACCAUUGUCUUGUCACUGACUAUGGCCUAUAAUUAUUUGACCAAUUCAUUGUUGGCAUUUUACUUUGGACAUCUAGCUAACCAGCUACAGCAUCAGCUCCAUUAUCUUUUAGUCUUUUUUUUUAAUGUAUUGUGUCAUUGAAUUUUAUAACUACUACACAACUACCAACCCUUGAUGGCGCCCCCCCUUACCCUGAGACCGUUUAACUUGUACACAGAUUAAAGACAGGUUACGGUCUUAGGCACAGGAUGGGUUUGCCACAAUCAACUGUACUAAGCUGGUUGUUUUGUUUUGUAUUAAAUAGAAAAGAACUCAGUUAGACUUCUACUGUGAUUACAUUAAUGUGCUUCUCCACACUUGUCAAACGUCCACUCUUCCCUCCUCUUAAACAACCCACUCAGGUUUGCAUUUUUUAAGUGUUACCUCACUAGCAUAAUUAGUAGUUGAAAGGAAAAAGUCGGUCAAAAUCCUAGCUAAAGGAGUUCACAGUGACAUUUUUUGAAAUCAACUCAUCCGAUUGAGUAGUCAUAAGGGAAGCAGUAAAAAUAACCGAAACAUGUCUUGCUCAAUUAUAUCCCUUUAUAAAUCAUAUGUGUGUGUGUGUGAGUGUAUGUAUGGGUGGGUGGGUGGAUGUGAGGGUGGGUGGGGUGUUUUACAUUUGACAUGUUGCAUUUGUAUUUUAUAUUGCAGAUACUGAAAAGAAGAAUCUAAGUGAGAGGAGCCGGGCAGUGACAAGUAUCACCCCUACCACUGCUACAAUCUUGACCACAUGCUGAAGUUUUAAUAAACGGUUUUAUUAUAAUUAGAUGUGUAGAUCUAUUGAGAGUGUAUGUAUUUAAACCACAAUUAUUUUGUGCAUACAUUCACUUCAGGAAUAAACGUGUAAACCCAGA